UACGUAGGAGGCGAGCGUUGUCCGGAAUCACUGGGCGUAAAGCGCGUGUAGGCGGGAAGGCAAGUCUGCUGUGAAAGCGCCUGGCUUAACCGGGCGAGGUCGGCGGAAACCGCUUACCUGGAGGACGGUAGAGGGGGGUGGAAUUCCCGGUGUAGUGGUGAAAUGCGUAGAGAUCGGGAGGAACACCUGUGGCGAAGGCGGCCCCCUGGGCCGGCCCUGACGCUGAGACGCGAAGGCGUGGGGAGCGAACGGG
rnacentral:rRNA from 1 species